rnacentral:lncRNA from 1 species
UUUAUUAUUAUUCACAUUUUCGUUCUACGUCACAAUUGCUUCCAAGAACCCACCCAUCAAUCAUCUUCACCCUAUGUCAAAGCAUAUCCAAUGAAUUUAUAUUUCUCUACUGUACAUCAAAUUUGAAGAGGAUCGAGCCAACUUAAUUUUGGGAUGGCCAGCGUAGUACGUCAAAUUGUCAAAAAAUGGAUAUUGAUAUGAACGCAUAAUAUGAGCGAGAGUCCAAUGGGAAAAAUCUUGUUUUCCAUAUUUGUAUUUUUCAUGGUCCAGUGUCUCCCUUUCAAAUUGUUGAAGUGA